rnacentral:rRNA from 1 species
AGAGUUUGAUCAUGGCUCAGAUUAAACGCUGGCGGCAUGCCUUACACAUGCAAGUCGAACGGCAGCACGGGGGCAACCCUGGUGGCGAGUGGCGGACGGGUGAGUAAAGCAUCGGAACGUAUCCUGGAGUGGGGAUAACGUAGCGAAAGUUACGCUAAUACCGCAUAUUCUGUGAGCAGGAAAGCAGGGGAUCGCAAGACCUUGCGCUCUGGGAGCGGCCGAUGUCGGAUUAGCUAGUUGGUGGGGUAAAGGCCUACCAAGGCGACGAUCCGUAGCGGGUCUGAGAGGAUGAUCCGCCACACUGGGACUGAGACACGGCCCAGACUCCUACGGGAGGCAGCAGUGGGGAAUUUUGGACAAUGGGCGGAAGCCUGAUCCAGCCAUGCCGCGUGAGUGAAGAAGGCCUUCGGGUUGUAAAGCUCUUUCGGUGGGGAAGAAAUUGCACGGGUUAAUACCCUGUGUAGAUGACGGUACCCGACUAAGAAGCACCGGCUAACUACGUG